CAUGUUUCCUUUGCAUGCCAAAAAGCCAGUGGUACAUGUGCCUUCAAAUAUGGGCUUAGAAGCAAAUAUUCUUAAAUCCCUAUGCUUCUUCCACAUGGACCCUCCAUUGCAUAAGACAACUUUCAGUGAGGAUAGCUUCAAGUCUGUGAGGGAAGUUGUCUUCUAAGUCAACAUACAUCUUCCAGCUCUGCAAACUGAAAGACUUGGGCCAAUUUAAUUCUGCAAAACCAGAAAGUUACGAAUCUAGCCAGGUCCAUCUAAUCCAGUAUUUUAAGUCAGAGGGUAGACAGUUGGUGAUGGUUAUACAAAAGAGUUAUUGAAGCCUCGGUGUAAGUAAUUAUACAUGAGAGUGGAACAUUUUUCCCUUCAGGUAAAUCCCACCUUUAUCUCUAUUAAUUAUUGUAAUACUUAAACACACAAGAUAUAUAA